rnacentral:lncRNA from 1 species
AGACUUUUCUUUUUCCCAGAAACACGCUUCUUCCCCACACCUACGACGCCCCAACGUCUUCUUCUUUUUUCUAGAAAAAAGGGACGACGCCUCACUCUUUCUCCUCCUUCCCCAUGCCCAUUCGUCCUCUCUCAUCAAUCGCCCGUCGUCCGCUGCCAAAGAAAUGGCCAUGGAUCGCCGGAAAACAACAAUAUCCGGCGGUCUCCAAAACCAUCCCCCUCCGCCGUCCAUCAAUCAUACCCUCUUCAUGUCAAUUUUACAUCUCUUCCAUCAUCUUUUCUGAACCAUGGCAAACCUCAAAAGCUCCUCCACCACCAUUACUCUGCCUGAAAAGUGAAGGACACGAAGAACCAUUAGAUUUUGAUUCGUCUCACCCUUAAUCUUAUGGGUAUGAGAGUGGAAGCCUCUCCAAAAUUGCCUAUAAAAGACCUCUUGGGUUCUCAAUCGAGGAUCAUCUGGAAAUCAUCUAGAAAAUGAUCCGGAAAAUCAUCGAAGAACGAUAAAAAAGAGGGACAAAAGCACGCUUCAAGCAUUAGGUUUUAGAAUUUUUCGAUCUUCUUUCAUCUUUUUUUAUUAUUAUUUUCAACUCGAGUUUCGAGAGUAAGUUUGAUUUUGGAAUCUCUUAGACGUAGAAGCUCUAGUUUGCUGCUCAACACAAGGUAAAACGAUUCCUCCUUAUGAUGCUCUUUGUCCCUUUUCGUCUCCGAAAUAAGAUCCUUGUUUGCUGUUUGUGAGUUCUGUUGUGAGUGAGUAUAUCUCAUGGUUUUAGUAUUUUUUGUCUUUGAUUUUGCUUCCCACAGAUCAUGGGUUAGUAAACUGAAGUCGGUAACCACCCUCGCCUUAUAUUUUGUUUUUGGUUUUCUAAAAAAUAUUAUUCUUAUGUCGUUAUCUUGAUUCUGCCAUUUGGAUUCAAUUAGCUACUCUAAAUAGGCUCAUAAAAACAAGUAAUAGAAGUCAAUGGCAAUAAAAAGGACUGCUGAUUAAUGUAUCUGAUAUGUGUUUUGUUGAAAUGUUUUUUUUUAGUAUAUAUAUCCCCUCUUAGAGGUCUUUGGUGCAAGUAAACUAAUUUUGGACAGUAAAGCUUGAUGUCAAGUCACCAUUUUUUUAUCUAUAUAACUGAAAUUGGUGUUGUAUCUCCUUGUUGUUAAUUGCUGUUUUUCAUCUGUUAAAAUCCAAAGCUAUACAGCCAAAACAAUCAUAAUCUUUUCAUCUUUCAGCCGUCAUUUUGUUUCCAACUAAUUUUAAUCAAAUGGUCAUUAUGUUAUAUAAAAUUAAUUACAGUUGCAUCUCAUUUAAAUAUGGGGAGCAAAAUAUGACAGUAGUGGCCUGUGAUUCUCUUUUUUAAGAAAAUGUGUUGCUGGUCGUAUGUUUACGUAAAAAAUCUGAAUAAAUCAUUAGCUCGAUGUUCCAUUUUUGACAGACAAUAUAUUUUUACAAAGCAUUUUUUAUCUUGAUGAAUGAUGUUUAGUGAAGCUUUAAAACAUGUAGUACUCAACUAAUGUGUUGGAUUAGUGACUUUGAAUCAUCAAAAUUUAGUUGAUUGUUAUAAUCAUCGUUGGCAUAAUAUUUUUCUUUCUCUUUCCUCAAAUGUAUGGUUAUCUAGGCCUCAAAUCUUGACCUUGUUACAUUUUCCAAUAUAAUAUACGCUAUGUAAAAUUGUGUAAAGGGCUGCUCUGUUUUGAAUUUAUUAUAGUUAUUUGAACAGUUCCCAAUCCCUUUACCUCUUCUUAUGUUACAUGUACAAUUGGAAAGCUGAAGUUUCUAUUUUGGAAUUCGUUAUUGGCCUAAGAUAUUAGGCCAACAACAAAUUAGGAUCAUCGCAACACUUGGAGCUUCGCAAAUUAGGAGUUCAAUAUUUCUUAGCCUUCCUCUUUUCGAGUCUUAAUUAUAUUGUUUGGAUAUAUUGGCUAACCUUUACUUACAAGUUUUUGAUAUAUUGUUUGUCUUUUAUUUUGAAGCUUAUUUUUACGUGAACUAAUAUUAUUUGUUUAUGAAUUUAGUUGAGUAGAAUAAAUGAUAUAAAAGAUAUUUUCUUAAAAAUGAGUUAGCAUUCUUACUUAUAACAAUCUUUUAGGCCUUUUAAGUUGAAAAGAAAGGUUUCUAGUUUAAAAGUUUUCCAAAUGAAGUUUCAAAAGGUUAAAAUAAUAUUCGUUUAGGUGUUUCAAAAUUGGGGAAAAGAAGUAUAUAUCGACUUAGGCACUUAAGGAAUAGGAAAAUUUAUUGUCUAAAACUCUCUAUUGAAAUUUUAAAAGGGUGAAAUAAUUUUCAUUUAGAUAUCUAAGUAGAAAAAUAUAAAAUUCAUGAAUUGGGACUCCCAAAUAAAUUUAGAGGUACAUAAAGGCUAAAAAUAAUUAACUUGUAGAAUUAUAUAUUAUUUUUAAAAAAAAAAUAAGUAGGGAAGUAGGCUUAUAUAUUUAACGAAACAAAUACGACUAUAGAAUGAGUCCUAAUAGUUAGGCCUAUUUUUAUACUCUUUACAUCACCCCUUUACAAAAAAAAUGUAUUGACUAUUCUUACUUUUUGGAUCAAACAUUUUAAUCUUUUAACAUGCUAUUUCAAAAUUUUAGAUAUGCCAACAAGUUCAAAUACAAGGUACAUAACAUAUAUAUGUCAUACACAUAAAAGGUAUAUAUUCUAUAUUUUCUCUACAUAACCUAUUAUUAUCUACUAUCUCUUUUACUAAUGUUAUUUAUUUUAUUUUAUAAUUUAUAAAUGCAUACACUUAAAUAUACAUGUUACUUUAUUACAUAUAAUCUAUCGCCAAUUUGUCUAUACAUGUAAAUAAAUAAUAAGUAUUCACAUGUUUUACACAACUUACAUGCAUAUACUACACUUUAUAAUAAACAUAUUUAAGAUCACAAACCUUUAUAUAAUAUUUUAACAUCUAGUAUCAUUUAUUUUAUUUUUUAGAAAACUCCAUUCUAUAUAUUUUCAUUCAAAUUACACAUCGCAUAUUACUACGUACUCACACCCAACUACUAUCUUAUUUUUAUUUCAUGUCUUAAAAAAAGAUGACAUAUUUUCAUAAAUUCAACAUCUAUAUUUUUUAGGAUAACCUUACUAUGUACUCUCCAAUAUAUAAGAAGGGAGAAUUAGCAUACCUUUUAAGUAUAUUUAUUUAUUUAUUUUACAAUAUGAUAAAAGUACUACUAUUAAAUCUAUUUUAUAAGACAUCUAUAUGUCAUACCGUCGUACCUUGUAUUUUACUCUUUUCUUAAACUAACCAACUAACUUAUCAUUUAAUUAUUAAAAGCAAAUAAAUAAACAAGUUUUCCUAAUCAUAUUUUUCUAAAUUGAGUUUAAGGACUAUCUUCGGAUAGGCUAUGGGGGGUGCUUAACACAUUCCCCUCGAGUAACCAAAACCCUUACCCAGAAUCUCACUGGUUUCGCAAAUCAAAACAGAGUUUACAUUUACAUAUUUUAAAAAAAUGGUUUUCCUAAUAUUUUCCUUAAAAUUUAGGUGGCGACUCAAAAAACAAAACAACAAUUUUUCCAAAAUCAGAGUGUCAGUUAUAUUAUGUUGUGAACUGUUUCGGCCAGUUCGAAAUAGGGUGUGACACCACUUUCAAGGACAUCUUCAUUGUUGCCUUUUGCUCUUCGCCACUAAUGAUUCUGAUUUGCUGGUAAAGUUUUUAUACGAUAUGUUUUAACUACCCUUGUGUUCUAUUAGUUUUAUACUAUUACUCCAUAUUAAGGGAAAUAUAUAAUUCUGAAAUUAAUCUAAAUAUAACAUAUUUUCUACAUAAAGAAACCAAAAUCACAUUUUAAUUAAUUGAAGGUUACAUGUAUUUAUUUAUAUGCAACAACAAUAACAGACCCACUGUAAUCCCAUAAGUAGGGUUUGAGAAGGAUAGUGUGUAUACAUACCUUACCCCUACCUUGAAAAGGUAGAGAGAUUGUUUUCAAUAGACCGUCAGUUGUAUAUAAUAUUUACCAUUAGGUCAGUCCUAAUACAUUGGGCCCUUUGUCUCACUUUAACCAAGGUAAUUUACAAGAACCACACUGGAGGUGGGUGGACUUGGACUUUUGACCUCACUUACCUAUUAGGAAGAACUUCAAGUUUAAGAGAUUUUGAACUUUGACCUUGAAGGUUUUCCCACGGGGCAAGUUGCAUCAAAAGUUCAAGACUAUUCAUUUUCAAGGUGUGUAUUUUCUUGCCAGAAUUGUCAUCAGACCCAACAGUUCCAACUUCCUUUAGCCAAGCCUAACCUGUUUUGUUGGUCGACUACCACAUCGCAAAAUAGAUCUCGCCAAUCAGCUGUAUUCCUUCGACUAUGGUCAUAUGCUUCCUGCAAAAUCUGGCGAAAGUUCGGGUGAUUUACAUGGAAAGGUGUGCCGAUGAUGUUGUGAAAUGAAGAUGUCCCAUCACCAGCUUCUGAAAGACGAAGGCCCCAGAAUAUGACUUUCUGAAUGUGCUGAUCAUCAGUGCCAUUAUUAAGAUUAUAUGACAUAACAUGCCCUACUCCAGCAAUGGAUGAUGGUCUCCACAAGGGUAUCAACCUCCUUUCCUCAAAAUUACUCCGAGGAUCUCGAAACUGGAGUUUUGGCAAUGUUAUUCCUGCUGUUGCAUAGACUGGAUGGACGCCACACUUUGUCACUUUUAACCCUAUGAAUCCUUGCUCUCUGAUACUGAACGAAAAUGUAAUUUGUUCUCCACCUUCUAAAGCAGGACAAAAGUAAUCUCGUGGUAUGAAGGUCACCCAAGAACGUUUGUCAGCGGUUACAGUAAUCUCGGGGAAGCCAAGGACCCAUGUAACUUUAUUGGUCUGAUCACCGACCUCUAGGACAGGACCAUAAUGAAAAUCUUCAUAGUGUAUGGACUCGUAGAUAGACCAAAGGAUCAUUCCCUGGAAGUUAUGUUCUAUGUUUGGUGGCAUUGUUAAGGUUAUAUUAGAUCCUAUGUUUCGGUUGCUGAACCAUUCUGGAACCUCGCUACCUGCAAUAUAGUAGCUGCUUGGAUAAGGAAGAUCUUUAUCACAUUCUCCCGUCUGCAUAAAAUAAAACAUAAAUGGUGUGAGUUGCACUUAAUUGUAGUAGUACAAAGAUGAGAUGAACAGAGGAACUAACUAACCAGCUGGAAGAAACUUUCAUCAAAGAAACGUCUUGCUAGCUUGCUACUGCUCUCUAUGCGAACAUAUUCAACAUUUUCGAUAGUUUCCAUGCCCUUAAUCUCGGACAAUCUGUCGCAAUUAGAUACAUAGAGCUCUGGCAGUAUACUGUAAUUGGACAUGUCUAGACUUUCAAUGGAUGAACAAUCAUUAGCAUGGAGCUUUAGCAGAUUAGAAGGAAGUAGUGAGAGCAUUUGAAGAUUCUUGCAAUUAUCCAGGACAAGAUACUGUAGCUGAGAUAGGUCGCAAAAGAGGGAUGAUGGGAGAGUGUAAAAAUCAUUUCCUCCUAAAUCCAGGUAUUUCAAUGAGGUUAAACACCCAAGAUUGGUGGGAACAUCUGCUUCUGAAAGCCUACAAUCGUUGAGAUUGAGCACCGUCAAGUGACUUAAACGGGAAAGGGAAUGUGGCAACAACCUCUCUGGACACGAUGAACUACUUCCUGCCCAUGGUACAUAAGAUAAAAUAGAAGUCAGCCAAGAUUGAGCCUUUAAACUUCUGUUGCAUCCUUGUAAUGAUAAGCUUCUUAGGUUUUUCAAGUGUCCCAAAUCAGCAGGCAGUUGUUGUAGACCCGAGCAACCUGACAUAUUUAGAUGUUGAAGUGAUUCUAGCUUGCAAAUGCUGCUUGGUAGAUUCUUGAGGCUUACACAGUCUUCCAGAUUUAAGUAAACAAGUUUCACCAAAUAUUUUAUUGAUGAAUCAAUCUCACCCAACUCGGAGCAACCUGUAAACAAUAUUGUCUCAAGACUUAUCGCCCUUGAAAAAUCAGGAGUCCGCUUUAGUCGUUGACAAUGACUGAGAUUUAGAUAUGCCAGGUUUUCCAGGGGCUGAUUCAUAGAAAUAAUAAUAUAUUCAUUAGUAUCUAUAGUUCGCUUAAUCUAAAAUUGUAUUAUAUCUAAACCUUGAAAAACUUAGAAUAAGGUUUUUUUAGCAAUAAACCUUGAUGGUGGAUUGCCAAACUUCCAUGAUGUUGCUAUAUUGCAUGUCCAGAGCCACAAGUUUGGUUAGAUGAAUAUCAGUAGGUAAACAUUUCAAAGGGAAAUUUUGCCAACUUAGCCAUCUUAGGUCCUCAAACAAAUUUUUGAAGCUUCCAGUAAAAUUCAUUCCUUUGCCUUGAAAUAUUUUCAACCUAUCCAUUCUUGCAAAGGACUUUGUGUCAACAGUUAAAUCUUUCACUUUGGGAUGGAUGGCGCUGAUGCCUUCUAUCAGAUUGCUACCCUGCCAUCAUAACAGUGCAGGAUACAUUGUUAUUCUUCUAUUUAUUCAGUUAUAAUUGCUUAUUUUGCUUUUCAAAGAGCUUAAAACAUCAUGUAAUGACAUUCUCUGUGUUUGGAAACGAUUUAGCUUUAAACUUCUCAUUUUACCCUUACUGGAAUGAUUUCAUAGUCACAUAAAUGUUAUUAAAUGUUUAAGACCACAAGUCUCAAGUCAUUUUUUUCUAAAAAUUCCUUGUGCACAGUCAAAUAUCAUCAUAUAAAUUGAAAUGGAGAGAAUUUCAAUAUAUGCACACACAUAUUCUAUACUCCAGAUCAACUAACAAAUGUAAGAGACAAUGGAAGGAAAGAUGUUUUUUUUUACCUUGUUCUUUCGUAGCACAUAAUUAACAUCUUCAUGAAACCACAAUCUAGAGCGCAUAUGAGGCUCUUUAAGUGACUCUUGACGAACAAUUUCUCUAGCCAUAUCUCGAACUAAAUCGUGCAUCCACAAACGAUUCUGUUUGAUUUUGAUUAAACAUCUUCCGGUCAAAAUUCCUUUCCCCAAGCUGAAAGAGCGACCACAACCGGUCAAUACAAGACUAGCAUAAAGUUCUUGGGCUUCAAUGAAAAAGCACGCGAUGUCACAGAAAAUCUCCUUAGAGUUCUCAUCAAGUGAGUCAUAGCUUACUUUGAGUGCUUUGUGAAUACUACUGUGAUGAGCAAGAUUUUUCAAGCUCUCGAGGGUACUUCUCCAUGUUUGAUCGUCCUUUUUAUGCAAAAGAGAGCCCAAAACUUCGAGUGCUAAAGGAACCCCUCCACCUAGACGUGCUAUGUCUUUCACCAACUCAUGAUCCAAAUUUUUGGGUACAGUAGUAUCCUUGAAAGCAUGAAAGCAAAAGAGUCGCCUGGAAGAGAUAUCAUCCAACCUUGUUACCUUGUACUUAUAGUCUACUCCAACAUCAUCUAGCAAAUUCUCACUUCUUGUUGUUAUAAUUAUUAUGCUCCCCGAACCAAACCAGCUUCUCUCUUCCGCCAAUGCUUUUAUCUGGCUCAUGUCAUCGACAUCAUCCAGAACAAUGAGGACCUUCUUCUGACCAAGUCUGUCUUUGAUUAUGCCUUUUCCCAUAUCAACAUUAUAUCGGAUUUCAAAGUUCUCUUUUUUUAGAACCUCAGAUAGAAGUUGUUCCUGUAAGUUGUGAAGCAUGUUAUUCUCCGAGCGCUCUCUUACAUGAGCCACAAAGGAGAAACCUUCAUACCUCCUGUGGAUUUGAUUGUAGACGGCUUUGGCAACAGUUGUUUUGCCUAUGCCAGCCAUCCCAUAGAUCCCAAACAUGCAGACACCAGUUGAUGAGUAGAACUUGCAUAGAGAAAUCACUCCUUCAGCAUGAGAAUUAGGCCCAAUUACGAGUCCUGGAAGGUGCAUGCAUGUGGGGUUUACUAACUUUAAGACCUCUUCCACAAGUUUCUUGUUGAAUUUUGCUUCAUGCCUGGAAAAUCAAACUCAAGACAAAUUAGUCUAAAGUCUAACCAAGAUGAGAAAAAGGUAUUUAUUUAUCUUAUAUAAACUAGAUUGUAUUUGUCUAUCUUACUUUCUAGGUCAAUUUUCUAUAUUAUAACAAAGCAAGCAUGUCAAAAUGCUAAUUGUUGAACGACAGAAAUAUUCCUGAAAUGUUGAACAACUUUUAUACCCUUCGUAAACUAUAUUUUCCUUCAAAGAAGCAAAAUACGUGCGGGAUAAAUUGUAAUAUUUAAAAUAUCAAUCAAUAUUAACUACAACUUUAAUUCAACUAAGCUAGAUAAAUUUGGUGAAGUAUAAUUCAUUGUGGACUUAAUUUGACGUUCUAAUCACUAAAGGGGUUUUUUGGUAUUUGGUUAGAGUUAUGCAGGUAUAGAAAUGAAGGGAUUAAUUAUGAGUGAAUAUAUGUACUCCUUCCGUUUCACAAAGAAUGAUCUGGUUUGACUUGGCACGGAGUUUAAGUAAAUAAAGAAGACUUUUGAAUCUUGUGGUCCUAAAUUAAAGUUAUGUCAAAUGUACAAAAUUACCCUUAAUCUUAUGGUCUUAAACAUGCCACGUGGAAAACAAAAAGUAAAAUGUUACCAAAAAAGGAAAGAGGUCAUUCUUUUUUAAACUGACUAAAAAAGAAAGGAUGUCAUUUUUUGUGAAACGAAGGGAGUAUUAUUUUAUGCAGGUAUUAGUUAUGCAAUUAUUAAUUAUUCAUUUAUUAGUCAUACAUAUAUUAAUUAUUCCAUCUUUUUGUCCUGCAUAAAUAUUACUCCCUCCGUUUCAAAAAGAUUGGUCUGGUUUGACUUAGCACGAAGUUUAAGAAAUUAAAGAAGACUUUUGAAUCUUGUGGUCUUAAAUUAAAGUUAUGUUAAAUGUACAAAAUUGUCCUUAAUCUUGUGGUCUUAAACAUGCCACGUGGAAAGCAGAAAGUAAAAUGUUACCAAAAAAGGAAAGAGGUCAUUUUUUUGAAACUGACUAAAAAGGAAAGGAGGUCAUUCUUUGUGAAACGGAGGGAGUAUAUAGAUUUCCUCAUAACUUAUACAUGUAUUAGUUAUGCGGGUUUCUAAAUUGUCAACAAACGGCGUAUUAAUUUUAUACAUGAAUAGGUUAUUUCCUAUCUAUCAACCAAACGUUGUAUUUACGAAAAUUAAUAUAUGUAUAACUUGUUUCUUAUCCCGCUACCAAACGACCCAUACGUUAACUUUUAUUAAUACAUAAUGAGGUAUUAUAGUAGAGAGGGAUUACUUGGAAAGAGGUAAAUUAGGAUUGGGAAUAAAAUUAGAUAUGCCUCCUAGACCAUUACAAUUUCACAUUGGAUAAUAAUAUAAAAGAACUAUGAAAUCCAUUGGAUGAUAUUUUUAUUCCACAGAAAAGGGUAUCUUGUGUUCCAAUAGAAGCAAAAGUGAUGUGGAUUAUUCAAGUGUCGAAGUCGAUUUGCUUUAUAAAAAGAAGAUAAGAGGACCGCUAUUUUGGUUCAGAAGAGAAAGUUUCUCAGGAACACUAUAAUCAACUAUAAAUUUGAUAUCCGAAUUGUGUCAGCAUGAUAACUCUUGAGUUACAUUCACACUAUAUGUUUGUUGUAUUGUUUUUCUAUUCAUACAGGUUUAGUCUUCUGUUUCUUUUUUAUGGUGAUUGACCAUUGAAGAUUAGUGACUAAAGAAAGAUGAUCUUGUCUGAUUAUCCAUCACAGAAGUGAAUUGGUAAUGUUUUCCUUUUCUUUUCACUUGAGAAUAUUUCGUAUGAGUAUAGUGAUAACUGAUAAUGAUCUAUAUGUUCUUUUUUCUUAAUGUUGUAUUGUGUUAAAAGUCUACUAUCUUUAGAUAUAAAAUUUAUAGUAGUUGUAGGGGUGUGAAAUAGAGACUUUUUUUUUUAUGACAGUGGUGUCUAGGCUAGCUUUCAUUCACCUCGACUAAUUACAUGAGAUAUCUGCCACCUCCCACCAACAACAGGUACCAUGGGACGGAGACUAGUUCUACUUACUAUCGGCUGUCUGUAGUUCACUUUUAGGUGACUAGAUAGUUUUUAAAGUUUCUUGUGAGCUACCAGUAUAGAAAAGUUAAAAAGUCAAGUUUGAGGAAGUUAGAGUACCCGUCCUCGACGUUCUGCAAAUCCCGUCCCGAUAAAUUUGCAGCUUCUUUGACAGCGGCUUUCCACCUUGCUACCUUCUCCUUCCCAAAACGUUUUUUGUGUUUAGAAAGUGCUUUAUCAAAUGUACCGGCUUGUCUACGUACCUCAGAAGGAUUAACGUCGUAGAAUAUAGGAAUAACUAGCUGACCAUGCUGCUCUCUGCACUCGAGUAUCUUCAAAAGCUCAUCGAGACACCAGCUAGACGAUGCAUAAUUUUUUGAGAAAAUAACAAUGGAGAUCAUGGAAUCUUCUAUAGCUUGAAUCAGUUCAGAUCUGAUUUCUGUGCCUUUUCUGAGCUCCUCAUCGUCUCUAAAUGUAUUAACUCCAGCUUGCACCAAAUUUGAAUAGAGGUGGUCCGUAAAAGUUUUACGUGUGUCUUCCCCUCUAAAACUCAAAAAAACAUGAUAUUUAUGGGAUGAAGAUGGAGGUGGAGGCAUGGAGGAUGAGGGAAUUAUAAUACUAUUAGUAGCCAUAGACACAAAUUUUAGUAUUAGAUGAAAUUGAAGAAAGAGUUAAUCUAUGGUGAGUGGUGACCAAAGGAAUCCACGACAUGGCAUUAUAUAGAGGCAGAGGCCUUCCAUAUACUUCCCUACGGACCUUAAUUUCUAUAAGAAUUCCACAAAUUAUGUCUUGAUAUCCAUACAGCACUCGCCACACAGGCUAGAGUGGCACAUAUUUAGCUAACCUCCCCCUCCUAAAAUCACUUGUUGGAUAUUCUGAGUGUUUAAAGUCAGCUGUUUCAAUUCAUGUAUCAUAUUUUCCUUUAUUUCUUCAGAGAAAGUGACUCUUCUUGGAUAAAUUCCACAAAAGGAUCGUCAUCAUCUCCUUUAUAAUUUGCGACUAGCGGGUGCACAACUUGUCAAUAUUUCAGACCAAAAAAGUCUCUAGCUUUCAACUAAUUUUGAUAUUUAAUAAUGUCCGCUAUGAAACGGUCCUUCUAGGUCACCUCAAGGCUUUUUGACCUCAUGGUUUUGUCCACUAAGGUGGCUGGCUUUAACUUAAAAAACGCCUCAACAUUUGAAAAUUUCGACGCGCAAUUAUAGGUGAUUUUUAUAUUACACAACAAAGUUGAUUUACGUACUUUGUGAGAUAAUUAUUUUUAGUGGAGUAUUUUUAUGUUAUAAAACAAAUGUAUAAGUGAUUUUUUGAGAUAAAAAUUAUUCGUUGAUAGAUGAUUGUCUGAAAGAUCAACUCCGACGAAUAUCACCAGUUUGACAUCUAAUAUACUUACAUAGCAAGAAAAUAAUAAUAUAGAACUUUAUAUAUAGUGUAAUUUUUUGACGAUAAACUUUUUAGCUUUGUUCCUACGUUGAAUAUUAAUAAGUUUAGAUUCUUUCAACAGAUAAUUAACUAACCAAUUUUGGAAUUUUGUAAAAUGGAAGAAAGUGUGGAAUUUAGAAUUACGAAAGAGGAAUUUAAAUAAAUCUUAGGUCGCCACGGCUGACCAUGAUCAUAAUUAGUCCAAGCUUCAGAAAUUGCAGCGUACGUGCAUAUUUUUUUUUAAAAAAAAAUAGUAAUAAAAAAUCACUAGAAUCAAUGACGGACAAACGUAUUUGAAGUUUAUAUAUUUCUACAAUUAUCUCAAAUUAAUAUUAUAAUAAUAAAUGGUUCAUAUAGUUAAAUAUUUAUAGAUAUUUUCUAUUAUUUAGAUUUCCUAUACAUAUAUAUAAGUAACGAUAAAAGUUACUAUUGAAUUUACGUGAACUAACUUGUAAGUCGCAACUAAGUCUUUAGAGAUUUGCUUGUUGUGUGAGGUAGACCGACCACUAUAAUGUGAUACAAGAAAUUUUCUUUUUUCCACAAUUUGAAUCUAAUAAUUUUAAUUAUGAAGAAGAAAGAAAUUACCUAGUACAAGGAGCCAUUAAAUAUGUGUAAAAAAAGACUUUGAAUUUGUCUUAGAUUCCCUACAAAUUAAGAUCGUUAUUUUGGAACUUAGUUGGUUAAUUAUAUUUUUUUAUAUUGUUUUGUUGUAAGAAUUUUUUUCUUAGUAAAAGAAUGAGUCUUGGAAUGAGGAAAUUAAAUGGGAAACUUACUUGUGUUAGUUAAUACUCCAUAGUGGAACACAAGCACAUACUUAUAGGUUUGAUUGAAUUUGAGUGAAAUUUAAUUUGAAUAAGUAAUUUAAAUUUUUAUGUAUAAUCUUACCAAAUGAAUAAAUUAGAGUUCAUAAAUAAGAAAAAGAUGCAUUUUAAGGUGAUGCAUUAAUAAAUUGCAUGUCCACAUAUUCUUUUGUGAAUAGAUAAUGAUUGUGACUAAAUGUUCUAACAUAUUUUUUAAUUCACAAAAAAUUAUAAAGAUUUACUCGAUUGUAAAAUAAUUAAUUUAAUAAUUGUUGUAACUAUUAACUGGCUAUCGAUAUAAUUCUCCUACGAAAUACGUACGAACAAUCCCUUCACUAAAAUGAUGAGUCGUUGUUUGUAAAUAUAAAUAUAUACGUCAAGUUUUUCCGUUUUAAAUAGUAAAUGAAAUCAUAACUAGGAAUUUAAAUUCCUGCUCUUUCAAAAAUUUGAAAUUUCAAAUCACCAUAUGAAACUGAAUUUGAAGUUAUGUUCACAUUUCAUAAACACAUGCAUUGAUUUCGAAUAAAAACUUCAAAUUUUGAGCUUCAAUCUUAUGGUCAAAUGUCUACCUAAAUUGAUACCCCCACCCCCUAUAUAUAUAUCAUAUAAUAAGAAUCAGAGCUAGAGUUAUAAGUAAUGAUUUAACACAAUCCAAUAGUUUUGAUCAAAAUCAUUUGUUUGUGUGACUAAAUAUAUUGAAAAGGCAUAAUACAUAAAUAUGCUCCUUUAACUUGGGCUUAUUUUAUAUUUAUGUCUUCCAACUUUGUAUGUACAUAAGGAAACACUUGAAUUUGUAUAAAGUUAAACAAAUAGACGCAUACAUCAUACUUGACAUCCUACAUGUCCUAUAUGUAUUAUGUCACAUAGGAUUACUCGUGUGUCUACUUGUUCAACUUUAUACAAAUUUAAGUGUCUACCUGUGCAAACCUAAAAUUGAAGGGCAUAAAUGUGAAAUGAGCCUAAAUUAAAAGACACAAUUAUAUAUUAAUCAUGUUAAAAAUGUGUAAAUAAUUUAUCUAGAAUCUAAAAAGUCGCCUUUAUUUUCUAAAAUCGAAAACUCAUAAAUUUAAAAUUCUAAAUUUUCCUCUACUUUUGAUUGACCUCCAACGUAACGUGCUACCUUAUAUAAUGCUAAGAAUUAAGAUUAUCAAUCAUGAUUAUGAAUGAAUUUAAUUAGCCGUCUAUGAAAAUUAUUAAAUAUUAUUCAACAAAUUAAUUACUUCUUUUAGAUUUUUACAAGUGAUUUUUUGUUAGACAUCAUAAUCCAUAUGAUAGACUUGUUAAGUUAAACUACUAAUAAAAUAAUUUAUACAGGUUCCUACUGGUGGAUCUAAACCCGCUGGAUCUUAAUUAAUCAUAAAAAUUUAUCUCAACUAAAGAUUUUUUUUUCUCCUAAAAAAUUAUUGUACAUGUAAGUUAUUCAUUGAUAAUAUUAUAUUAAAAUAAAUUAGAGGGUAGGUAGUUAAUUGUAAAUAUGGAAAAGGCUCAAAUAUAUCAUUAGAUUUUGAGGGGAAAAAAUCAUUUAUGUUAUCUGUUAGAAGUUUGGUUCAUCCAUGUUAUUUUCAUUUGAGAAAAGUCUCCAUUCACAUCAUUAUUUGUUAAUAGAAAACAAUUUCGAAUUUGCUAAACUAUUUUCGACACAUGAUCAAUUAUAAUUCGGCCAUGUCAUUAAUUAUAUUAUUUUUAAAGAAAAAAGGACUCAAAUAUACCAUCAAACUUUGAGAAAGACUCAUUUAUUCCAUAUGUUACAAGUUAGGCUUAUCAAUGUCAUUUCAGUAAACAAAUAAUGGUUGGUGCAUGUUUCUUGGAGAGUCAUUGAUAUCUUGGAAGAGUAAAAAGCAAGAUCGUGUGUCAAAAUCUUCAACAGAGGCUGAAUAUCGAUCCAUGUCUUCUGCUUGCUCCGAGGUUGUAUGGCUUCGUGGAUUACUUGCUGAGAUUGGAUUUCCCCAAUCUCAUCCUAGUCCUCUCCACGCUGACAAUACAAGUGUUAUUCAGAUUGCUACUAAUCCAGUUUUUCAUGAGAGGACCAAACACAUCGAAGUGGAUUGUCAUUAUAUACAAGAAGCUGUAGAUAAAGGAGUCAUUACUCUUCCACAUGUGUCCAGUGAUCUUCAAAUAGCUGAUGCGUUUACAAAAUCCAUGGCACGGCAACGCCAUCAGUUUCUAGUAGGCAAAUUGAUGCUUCUUGAUCCACCAGCAUCAAUUUGAGGGGGGAUGUUAGCAUGAUAGACAACUAAAUGAUUGUAUAUAUUAAUGUAAUUAUAUAGCUAGUGAUAUAAAUUAGCAUGUUCAUAUACAUUUGUUGUAGAAUCAUAUGAAUAAAUAUUGUGAUAGAAUAGCUGAUUUGGAGGAAUAGCAAGGCAGAUUUAGAGGGAUUCAAUGGCAGAUUUGUAUAGAUAGAAUAGCUGAUCUUUAGGGAUAGGAAUGGCGGAUCUUUAGGGAUGUGUAAUCUUUAUUUUCUCUAUAUAAUGGAAAGACUCUCUCACUUUGAGAGGCAGCUGAAAAUUGACACUUUGACAGCGGCUUUCCACCUUGCUACCUUCUCCUUCCCAAAACGUUUUUUGUGUUUAGCAAGUGCUUUACCAAAUGUACCGGCUUGUCUACGUACCUCAGAAGGAUUAACGUCGUAGAAUAUAGGAAUAACUAGCUGACCAUGCUGCUCUCUGCACUCGAGUAUCUUCAAAAGCUCAUCGAGACACCAGCUAGACGAUGCAUAAUUUUUUGAGAAAAUAACAAUGGAAUCUUCUAUAGCUUGAAUCAGUUCAGAUCUGAUUUAUGUGCCUUUUCUGAGCUCCUCAUCGUCUCUAAAUGUAUUAACUCCAGCUUGCACCAAAUUUGAAUAGAGGUGGUCCGUAAAAGUUUUACGUGUGUCUUCCCCUCUAAAACUCAAAAAAACAUGAUAUUUAUGGGAUGAAGAUGAAGGUGGAGGCAUGGAGGAUGAGGGAAUUAUAAUACUAUUAGUAGCCAUAGACACAAUUUUAGUAUUAGAUGAAAUUGAAGAAAGAGUUAAUCUAUGGUGAGUGGUGAACAAAGGAAUCGACGACAUGGCAUUAUAUAGAGGCAGAGGCCUUCCAUAUACUUCCCUACGUACCUUAAUUUCUAUAAGAAUUCCACAAAUUAUGUCUUGAUAGCCAUACAGCACUCGCCACGCAGGCUAGAGUGGCACAUAUUUAGCUAACCUCCCCCUCCUAAAAUCACUUGUUGGAUAUUCUGAGUGUUUAAAGUCAGCUGUUUCAAUUCAUGUAUCAUAUUUUCCUUUAUUUUCUGUCACAGGAAGAAUGCCAUGCUUCCUAAUUUAGAAAUAAUUCUACUUUAACUUCUCCUUUUACACUUCAUGGAAUGAUUUAUCUUCAAUCAGAUGUCUACGACUUAUUUACUUGUUUAAUACGAUAAAUUUCAAGAGUUUUUUUUUUCCCACAAGUUUUACUUUUGAUGUACGUUAGGUGUACAUUGUAUAUACUUUUUUUGGUAUGGGGAGAGUGCUCUUCCUCAUUUACUUUGAUAGUCUCUUUGUAAAUGAUGGGAGUUCCUCUAUAUAUAUUUGACUAGAUAAUGUUGCCGUGCUAUGCACGGGCCCAAUAAUAUAAAUGGUAUGUUUUGGGGCUAAUAACCGAGUUUUUGAAGCGAUUGUUUGCGUGGAUAAAGGAAAACGUUUUUUUAUCACAAACAUGUACUUUCUUUGACGCUAUCCACCCCCCACCCCCUCCCUAAAACACCAUGACACAAAUUAAGACAGAGGGAGUAAUAAAUUUGGUCAGAACUUCAGAGAAAGUGACUCUUCUUGGAUAAAUUCCACAAAAGGAUCGUCAUCAUCUCCUUUAUAAUUUGCGACUAGCGGGUGCACAACUUGUCAAUAUUUCAGACCAAAAAAGUCUCUAGCUUUCAACUAAUUUUGAUAUUUAAUAAUGUCCUUCUAGGUCACCUCGUGGUUUUGUCCACUAAGGUGGCUGGCUUUAACUUAAAAAACGCUUCAACAUUUGAAAAUUUAGACGCGCCCUUAUAUGGCUCCCCCUAACUUUUCCUCCAUUUCGAUAGGCAAGUUUCACAGCAAACUCUCUUUUGAUUUUUGACUGUUAGCGGUAUAGAUCAAAGAUGUAUAAGUUAGGGGAAUAGAAAAAUAGAUCUCAGUUAAGUGUAGGGGCGGAGCUAACUAGCCCUCUCGUUAAGGGUUUGGCCGAACUCAGAAGUUUUACCAAACUAUAUGUGUGUGUAUGUGUGAAAAUGAUGAUUUGAUUUAUUUAAAUAUUUUCAGUUGCAGAUAAAAAUGUCGUCAUAGAAGUGUACUUUUGCAUGACCAAGUCAAGGUUCAAGUGGCUUCCUUCAGUACCCAAGAGUUGACAUUGGGGUAAAAACUUAUUCGCGCUCGAUGAUAUAUGUUUAUUUUACCGGGACGAAUCACUUUUUUUAUAUUUUAAAAAUAUUACUUAAUUUAUUUUUUUCACAUCAGCAAUAUCUAUUGGAAUUAUCGUCUGAAUCGAUUGAGUAAUUUUUUUUUGUUCAAAUAACAAUAACUAUGUGAUUUUUAUAUUACACAACAAAGUUGAUUUACGUACUUUGUGAGAUAAUUAUUUUUAGUGGAGUAUUUUUAUGUUAUAAAACAAAUGUAUAAGUGAUUUUUUGAGAUAAAAAUUAUUCGUUGAUAGAUGAUUGUCUGAAAGAUCAACUCCGACGAAUAUCACCAGUUUGACAUCUAAUAUACUUACAUAGCAAGAAAAUAAUAAUAUAUAACUUUAUAUAUAGUGUAAUUUUCUGACGAUAAACUUUUUAGUUCCGUUACUAUGUUGAAUGUUAAUAAGUUUAGAUUCUUUCAACAGAUAAUUAACUAACCAAUUUUGGAAUUUUGUAAAAAGGAAGAAAGUAUGGAAUUUAGAAUUACGAAAGAGGAAUUUAAAUAAAUCUUAGGUCGCCACGGCUGACCAUGAUCAUAAUUAGUCCAAGCUUCAGAAAUUGCAGCGUACGUGCAUAUUUUUUAAAAGAAUAAUAGUAAUAAAAAAUCACUAGAAUCAAUGACGGACAAACGUAUUUGAAGUUUUUAUAUUUCUACAAUUAUCUCAAAUUAAUAUUAUAAUAAUAAAUGGUUCAUAUAGUUAAAUAUUUAUAGAUAUUUUCUAUUAUUUAGAUUUCCUAUACAUAUAUAUAAGUAACGAUAAAAGUUACUAUUGAAUUUACGUGAACUAACUUGUAAGUCGCAACUAAGUUUUUAGAGAUUUGCUUGUUGUGUGAGGUAGAUCGACCACUAUAAUGUGAUACAAUAAAUUUUCUUUUUUCCAGAAUUCGAAUCUAAUAAUUUUAAUUAUGAAGAAGAAAAAAAUUACCUAGUACAAGGAGCCAUUAAAUAUGUGUAAAAAAAGACUUUGAAUUUGACUUAGAUUCCCUACAAAUUAAGAUCGUUAUUUUGGAACUUAGUUGGUUAAUUAUAUUUUUUUAUAUUGUUUUGUUGUAAGAAUUUUUUUCUUAGUAAAAGAAUGAGUCUUGGAAUGAGGAAAUUAAAUGGGAAACUUACUUGUGUUAUUUAAUACUCCAUAGUCGAACACAAGCACAUACUUAUAGGUUUGAUUGAAUUUGUGUGGAAUUUAAUUUGAAUAUGUAAUUUAAAUUUUUAAGUAUAAUCUUACCAAAUGAAUAAGUUAGAGUUCAUAAAUAAGAAAAAGAUGCAUUUUAAGGUGAUGCAUUAAUAAAUUGCAUAUUCACAUAUUUUUUUUGUAAAUAAAUAAUGAUUGUGACUAAAUGUUCUUACAUAUUUUUUUGAAUUCACAAAAAUUUAUAAAGAUUUACUCGAUUUUCGAAUAAUUUAAUAAUAGUUGUAACUAUUAACUAGCUAACGAUAUAAUUCUCCUACGAAAUACGUACGAACAAUCGCUUCACUAAAAUGAUGAGUCGUUGUUUGUAAAUAUAAACAUAUACGUCAAGUUUUUCCGUUUUAAAAAGUAAAUGAAAUCAUAACUAGGAAUUUAAAAUCCUGCUCUUUCAAAAAUUUGAAAUUUCAAAUCACCAUAUGAAACUGAAUUUGAAGUUAUGUUCACAUUUCAUAAACACAUGCAUUGAUCUCGAAUAAAAACUUCAAAUUUUGAGCUUCAAUCUUAUGGUCAAAUGUCUACUUAAAUUGAUACCCCACCCCUAUAUAUUGAUAUAGAUAUUUAUAUUAUGUAUUAUUUAUAUAUUAGAAGAGAGAGUUUCACAGACUGUUUAUUGGUCAUUCAAUUGGCAAGUGGGGAUAUUUUUGUCAUUCCAACUUCUCAAAGUGAUAAGUAUUGCAUAGAAAAAAUUGUACUAUGGGCCUUAUUAUUUGGACUUUCUUAACAUCUUUAGAAAAAACCCUACACUUUUCUACUAAAUUACAUAUUAUGCCUUCUAUCAUUGAGUAUAGUGGGGUCCAUUUAAUUUUACAAUUGACACCUAUACAAUGAUAACUUUAUUGAGUUUCUAUAUAUUUCCAUUUUUAUUCUCUACAUAUUAAAUUGUUUAAAUUUAAUAUAGUUAAAUAAUUUAAUAAAAUUUAAUUAUUUAGCUUUUAUAUUCAAAACAAAUUAUUUUUUAAUAUUAUAUAUAUCAUUAAAUAACUAUAUAAGAUUAUUAAUAGUCAUAUUUNNNNNNNNNNNNNNNNNNNNNNNNNNNNNNNNNNNNNNNNNNNNNNNNNNNNNNNNNNNNNNNNNNNNNNNNNNNNNNNNNNNNNNNNNNNNNNNNNNNNNNNNNNNNNNNNNNNNNNNNNNNNNNNNNNNNNNNNNNNNNNNNNNNNNNNNNNNNNNNNNNNNNNNNNNNNNNNNNNNNNNNNNNNNNNNNNNNNNNNNNNNNNNNNNNNNNNNNNNNNNNNNNNNNNNNNNNNNNNNNNNNNNNNNNNNNNNNNNNNNNNNNNNNNNNNNNNNNNNNNNNNNNNNNNNNNNNNNNNNNNNNNNNNNNNNNNNNNNNNNNNNNNNNNNNNNNNNNNNNNNNNNNNNNNNNNNNNNNNNNNNNNNNNNNNNNNNNNNNNNNNNNNNNNNNNNNNNNNNNNNNNNNNNNNNNNNNNNNNNNNNNNNNNNNNNNNNNNNNNNNNNNNNNNNNNNNNNNNNNNNNNNNNNNNNNNNNNNNNNNNNNNNNNNNNNNNNNNNNNNNNNNNNNNNNNNNNNNNNNNNNNNNNNNNNNNNNNNNNNNNNNNNNNNNNNNNNNNNNNNNNNNNNNNNNNNNNNNNNNNNNNNNNNNNNNNNNNNNNNNNNNNNNNNNNNNNNNNNNNNNNNNNNNNNNNNNNNNNNNNNNNNNNNNNNNNNNNNNNNNNNNNNNNNNNNNNNNNNNNNNNNNNNNNNNNNNNNNNNNNNNNNNNNNNNNNNNNNNNNNNNNNNNNNNNNNNNNNNNNNNNNNNNNNNNNNNNNNNNNNNNNNNNNNNNNNNNNNNNNNNNNNNNNNNNNNNNNNNNNNNNNNNNNNNNNNNNNNNNNNNNNNNNNNNNNNNNNNNNNNNNNNNNNNNNNNNNNNNNNNNNNNNNNNNNNNNNNNNNNNNNNNNNNNNNNNNNNNNNNNNNNNNNNNNNNNNNNNNNNNNNNNNNNNNNNNNNNNNNNNNNNNNNNNNNNNNNNNNNNNNNNNNNNNNNNNNNNNNNNNNNNNNNNNNNNNNNNNNNNNNNNNNNNNNNNNNNNNNNNNNNNNNNNNNNNNNNNNNNNNNNNNNNNNNNNNNNNNNNNNNNNNNNNNNNNNNNNNNNNNNNNNNNNNNNNNNNNNNNNNNNNNNNNNNNNNNNNNNNNNNNNNNNNNNNNUGUAGUUGUGCAUGGUUGAUAAUUUGUUGCAUUUACUUAUAUUACUAGCAGUGAAAGUAGUUUGAUUAUUGUGAUCAAUAUACUGCCUUAGAGCUCAUAUAGUUUUUCAGAGUAUUAUGAUAUAUGAGCUACUUGAAUUGUGUAAAACAACUGCGUUUGUCCUUUUCAUUUAUUAAUUGAUGCAUUGGAGGUAGUUUGGAGAUAGUUCUCUGUACAGUCAAUCACUUCUUAGUUUACCAAUAAAGAGCUGAAUGAUGAAUGAACUUCAAGUCAAAGUAGUGUCAGUCUACGGUCAUUUUCCUAGAUGAACCACAAGUAGAUUUGUGCUUGUGUUUUCUUUGUGAACUUAAAGAAUAAACUCGAUUGACAACUUUACUUGUAUUUGUGUUUAUGAAUUUGUCUCUGCUUUGACCGACCUCAGAAACAAUAGCUAUCUACUGUCACGACCCGGGAGCACCCCCAUGUCGUAAUAAGGCGUACUCGACCCCAAAGGGGUCUUAUACAAACCACAUAGUCAUUCAUUGCAUUCAUUAAUGAAAAUAGUGCGGAAUGAAAAGCUUAUUUACAUCCACACCUUCAAACUUCAUUAAAACAAGUUUAAAAACACACAGCGGAAGUCUAAGUCUCACAUGGCCAUCUUAGACACAAUCACAAAACAUAAGUAGGGACACNNNNNNNNNNNNNNNNNNNNNNNNNNNNNNNNAAAAACUUAAUAAAUAUUAUAAAGAUAAUUUUAUUUGUGGAUUUGAUUAACAAGUAAUAACACUAACACCAUAUAAUAUUGUCUUGUCAAUAUUUAUGAUAAUAUUUUUAAAUUAUAAUUUAAUUAAAAAAAUUAUAAAAAAUAUACUUUUAAGAAAAGAGGGCUGGCCUGGCAAGCCCGUAGCCCACGUACUUGUGGGCUGGGCCAACUAUUUUCUGGCCCACACAAAAAAUGGGCUAGCCCGGCUUGACCUGUCAAAUUUCAAAGCCUGUAUGGGUUAGCCCGGAUGGGAUGGGCUAGCCCAUAUUGACACCUCUAGCUCUCGUAUUCAAAUUGUCAGUAGAAAGAAACUUAAUUAAGUCUUUUACUAUUUUAUGAUUCAUAGUUUUAGUAUCUUGUUUUUUUUUUUUUUUUAAUUUAUAGGUUUAUGUAAUUUUCUAGUUUCUCUGCUAUAGUUCAAAAUUUAAUUUACUUACUCAUAAGAGACUACUUAGAGCUUUUUAUAACUAUCUCAAGAUAAAAAUAUGAAAGGAGGUUAUAUAGAGCUUCAGUACUACUAUAUUUUAAGGUAUUAGAUUUCAUUUCCUAAAAAGGAUGCAAAUGAUAUUGAAAAUUUACAGAUUUAAUUUCGUAGAUAUAUAGAAAAGUUUUACUAGCAAAUUAGCUUCAUCGGGAGUAUUUUAUUCAAGUCUGAUGAGUUCAGAAGUAAUUUUGAGGUUCUUCAUUUUCUUUUGUUUCUCUUUUCUUUUAUCAUCACUACAUUUUCAGUUAAAAUUAACUCUUUGUUUGAACCUUUUUCAAGUACAAUUUGAAGUUUCUAUUGUACUUGAAGGAGAGCUUAGGACACCUUAGACUCAGUUUGGAUGGUUGUUACCUGUUGUUUCAUAUUAUAUAGUAUUGUGUUGUAUUGUAUUGUAUUAUUUUAAAGAAUACAAUAUUUAGAUAAAAUGUUUUAUUUUUGUCGUUACAUAGUGUCACACGUCUGCAAUUUGUAGGGGUAUUGGAUUGAACUAUCAUAAAAAGGUAAGAUAAAUGAUAAAAUUAGAUUAUUAAAUAGUAAGUAAAAAUGAGAAAAAGACAAGGUAACAACACGAUCACACCAAAUUGUUGUUACACAAAAUUAGGCUUUUGUCGUUACGUAAUGAUAAAUUUAUUGAUAUAAUACAAUAAAAUUUAAGUAAUACUCUAAAUAAAUGUAUUUAAACUAACAACACAUUACAAUACAAUAGGUAACAACCAUCCAAACAAGAUGUAACCUUAUAUUGUUCUAUCCUUUAUGUUAAGGGUGACUGUACAAUGUCUGUGGAGGCCACAUGCCCACACAAUACAAACUAAGGGGAAUUACGGCAAGGUAAAUAACUGUCAAAGUUUCAAGAGUAACUAAAUUUGUAGUUACACAAUUGAGGGGAAAUGGCAAUUAGAUUUAUGCCGAGCAGUAAUCUAAAUUAGCAAAGGAAACUAUCUAAUUCUUCAAUCUAAACACUAAUUAAUUUUUACCAAGAAAAUCCAUAAUACACUAUCAUAAAAAACCAUGAUUUCCUCCUGAGAAUUAAUUAUCUCUUGUUAGAAUAGAACUUUGAAUUGAGGAUCGCAACAAUCUAAACACAUUGAAAUAUCAAUAUAAACAGUUUGAAAAAUCUAUUUUUCUCCCUAUGUUCAGUGAUAACAUUAAGUUGAAAAUUAAACUCAAAAGAAAGACAAAAACAAAAAUUACUUUCAAUGUCACAUCUAGUACUCAGAUGCAACAAACUGUGGAAAACGUUUCUCACAAGCAUUGAAAUUUUUCUCAAGAUUCAGUUUUUCAUGUUUGUCAUAUUAUCUCAUAUUUAGUUAUCUGUGCUAUGCUUUCCAUAUUACUUGUUGUAUAUACUUGCUGUAACACCCCAGAAUUUUUUUCAGCAAAGACUUGAACCAUGCUUCGUUGUGAGUAGGAUUUUACCAAGAAAUUUAAAAUUUCUUAUGUAUUUGAGAGGAGUUGGGUUUCUUUUUAAUUCUAAUUGGAGUGACUUAAAUGGAAGAAUUUUAGUCUAAAAGGGUUUUAUAAUUGCUAGGAAAUGUAAUGAAUAAAAGGGACUCAACUUAGGAAAAGAAUUAAGGACCCACAAAGUUAAACUUAAAAGUUUUCACUAAACCCGUCUAAGUUCGUCCUCUUAGACAAUGCUUCACUAUUUUGGGAAUAACUUUUUACUCCGAGAUCGGAAAAGGGCAAACUCGGUGGCGUUGGAAAGAGGACUCAGAUACCUUUAAUUGGAUAGGUAAUGGUCCACCUAAUUCGUUUUGAGCUAAAAGAUAUCAUCAUUUGAAGUUGACCCUAAAAGUCGUAACUUUAAAAAAUCUCCCCCUUGCCCGUCUGUUCCAGUGGGAUUACUCAAAGGCUGGUCAACUGGGCAGUCCACUAGGCUAGCUCGCUAGCCUAGGUCCUUGCUUGCACCCUAGGAUGCUACCUAGCUCCAUUUAAGUUCUAAAACAGCAUAAACAUCAACCUAAGCCCCCACUAACCCAAACGUCAAGGCUCAAGUUCAUUUUAUCAUUUUCCGAGUCGUUACAUCUACCUAGACUUAUCAGCCUUGCACUUGGUUCUUAAGUCAUUAUAUUGAAGUAAUUGUACACUUGCUUUCAUGUAUGUACAUACCCCCUAUUUCAAGCAACUGUGAUUUUGAUUCUUUUUCCAAUCUUGUAAUUUAUGAAUAAUAUUUUUUCUUCUUCUCCCAUAUGUAUCAUGUCUUAAUCUUUUGAUCAAAGAUCAAAACAACUCAAUCUGCAUCUACAACUAACUUUCUAUACAAUGUAUCACAUUUUUGUUAUUAUGUAAAAUAAGUGUACAUAACUAUCUUGUAAAACUUAGUUCCUUAAAAUAUCAACAAACGAUUAAUAUGCAAGGUCAUCUUACGCUACAUACUUGUAAUCCAACUUUUAAUUGAUAUCAAGUUAUGAUAUUUAUUAUAGAAAUCAUUUUCUCAUUUCAAAAGAGAAAAAAAACUUAUUUUCUAGAGGAAAGAUGUUGCAAAAAUUUUAGCUCAUCAAAUAUAGAAAAUUAACAUUUUACAGAACACACCGAUAGAUUCAUCAAAUUUUUUUCUCCAAUUUCACAUAAAAACAAAUUUAACACAAAAAAAGGAAUAUUACAUAAUAAUAUUGGGCCCGUGCUGGCACGGGCCAUUACUUUCUAGUAUCAUAUAAUAAGAAUUAGAGCUAGAGUUAUAAGUAAUGAUUUAACACAAUCCAAUAGUUUUGAUCAAAAUCAUUUGUUUGUGUGAAUAAAUAUAUUGAAAAGGCAUAAUACAUAAAUAUGCCCCUUUAACUUGGGCUCAUUUCAUAUUUAUGUCUUCCAACUUUGUUUGUACAUAAGGAAACACUUGAAUUUAUAUAAAGUUGAACAAAUAGACGCAUACAUCAUACUUGACAUCCUACAUGUCCUAUGUGUAUUAUGUCACAUAGGAGUACUCAUGUGUCUACUUGUUCAACUUUACAAAAAUUUAAGUGUCUACCUGUGCAAACCUAAAAUUGAAGGGCAUAAAUGUGAAAUGAGCCUAAAUUAAAAGACACAAUUAUAUAUUAAUCCUGUUAAAAAUGUGUAAAUAAUCUAUCUAGAAUCUAAUAAGCAGCCUUUAUUUUCUAAAAUCGAAAACUCAUAAAUUUAAAAUUCUAAAUUUUCCUCUACUUUUGAUUGACCUCCAACGUAACGUGCUACCUUAUAUAAUGCUAAGAAUUAAGAUCAUCAAUCAUGAUUAUGAAUGAAUUUAAUUAGCCGUCUAUGAGAAUUAUUAAAGAUUAUUCAGCUAAUUAAUUACUUGUUUUAGAUUUUUACAAGUGAUUUUUUGUUAGACAUCAUAAUCCAUAUGAUAAUCUUGUUAAGUUAAACUACUAAUAAAAUAAUUUAUACAGGUUCCUACCGGUGGACCUAAACCCGUUGGAUCUUAAUUAAUCAUAAUAAUUUAUCUCAACUAAAGAUUUUUUUUCUCCUAAACAAUUAUUGUACAUGCAAGUUAUUUAUUGAUAAUAUUAUAUUAAAAUAAAUUAGAGGGUAGGUAGUUAAUUGUAAAUAUGGAAAAGGCUCAGAUAUAUCAUUAGAUUUUGAGAAAAAAAA